rnacentral:rRNA from 1 species
UACGUAGGGGGCAAGCGUUUGUCCGGAAUUAUUGGGCGUAAAGAGCGCGUAGGCGGUCCGAUAAGUCGGCUGUGAAAGUCAGGGGCUCAACCCUUGAAAGCCGGCCGAUACUGUCGGACUAGAGUCCGGAAGAGGCAAGUGGAAUUCCCGGUGUAGCGGUGAAAUGCGCAGAUAUCAGGAGGAACACCGAUGGCGAAGGCAGGUCUCUGGGCCACUACUGACGCUGAGAAGCGAAAGCAUGGGGAGCGAACAGG